UAGUUAUUAAUUUAAUUAAAAUAUUAAUUUUGUAAAUUAAAAAUAUAAAAUUUUAUAUAACUAA
rnacentral:tRNA from 1 species